GACCACGUAGCUCAGUUGGCAGAGCAUUGGGCUAGUAUUCCAAAGGUCGUAGGUGCGAAUCCCACCGUGGCCA